UGGGGAAUAUUGCACAAUGGGCGCAAGCCUGAUGCAGCCAUGCCGCGUGUAUGAAGAAGGCCUUCGGGUUGUAAAGUACUUUCAGCGGGGAGGAAGGGAGUAAAGUUAAUACCUUUGCUCAUUGACGUUACCCGCAGAAGAAGCACCGGCUAACUCCGUGCCAGCAGCCGCGGUAAUACGGAGGGUGCAAGCGUUAAUCGGAAUUACUGGGCGUAAAGCGCACGCAGGCGGUUUGUUAAGUCAGAUGUGAAAUCCCCGGGCUCAACCUGGGGAAUGCAUCUGAUACUGGCAAGCUUGAGUCUCGUAGAGGGGGGUAGAAUUCCAGGUGUAGCGGUGAAAUGCGUAGAGAUCUGGAGGAAUACCGGUGGCGAAGGCGGCCCCCUGGACGAUGAUUGACGCUCAGGGGUGAAAGCGUGGGGAGCAAACAGG
rnacentral:rRNA from 1 species